UCUGCCCAUAAAGGCAUUGCAGGGUGGCUGCUGUGUCACACGUGUCAGUAGGUGGCAGAGAGGAGAAGGGCUAUGUCUAUGCUCAGUGUUCUAACUUACGAACAUCCGAAUGAGUAGUAGCCUAACAGU
ensembl:snoRNA LOC120102660 small nucleolar RNA SNORA17